UACAGAGGUCCCAAGCGUUGUUCGGAUUUACUGGGCGUAAAGGGAGCGUAGGUGGCAUUCUAAGUCUGAUGUGAAAGCUCGGAGCUCAACUCCGAAAUGGCAUUGGAAACUACCUUGCUCGAGGGUUGGAGGGGGGACUGGAAUGCUUGGUGUAGCAGUGAAAUGCGUAGAUAUCAAGCGGAACACCAGUGGCGAAGGCGAGUCCCUGGACAACUCCUGACACUGAGGCACGAAAGCUAGGGGAGCAAACAGG
rnacentral:rRNA from 1 species